UGCAGUCGCGCGCGAAAGGGGGGCAACUCCCAAGUAGAGCGGCGAACGGGUGAGUAACGCGUGGGUGAUCUACCUUCGAGUAGGGAACAACAUCGGGAAACUGGUGCUAAUACCGCAUGACAUCCUCGAGUCACAUCGAGGAUCAAAGCCGGGGACCGCAAGGCCUGGCGCUUGAAGAUGAGCCCGCGUCCGAUUAGCUAGUUGGCGGGGUAAUGGCCCACCAAGGCGACGAUCGGUAGCCGGCCUGAGAGGGCGGACGGCCACACUGGAACUGAGACACGGUCCAGACUCCUACGGGAGGCAGCAGUGGGGAAUUUUUCGCAAUGGGCGCAAGCCUGACGAAGCAACGCCGCGUGGAGGAUGAAGGCCUUCGGGUCGUAAACUCCUGUCGACUGGGACGAAAGCAGUCUGGGCUAAUAUCCCGGGCUGUUGACUGUACCGGUGGAGGAAGCCACGGCUAACUCUGUGCCAGCAGCCGCGGUAAUACAGAGGUGGCAAGCGUUGUUCGGAAUUACUGGGCGUAAAGGGCGCGUAGGCGGCUCGACAAGUCCCGCGUGAAGGCCCCCGGCUCAACUGGGGAACUGCGCGGGAAACUGUCGGACUUGAGUUCGGGAGAGGGAAGCGGAAUUCCGGGUGUAGCGGUGAAAUGCGUAGAUAUCCGGAGGAACACCGGUGGCGAAGGCGGCUUCCUGGACCGACACUGACGCUGAGGCGCGAAAGCUAGGGGAGCAAACGGGAUUAGAUACCCCGGUAGUCCUAGCCCUAAACGAUGAGUGUGGG
rnacentral:rRNA from 1 species